rnacentral:sRNA from 1 species
GGGGCAUGCACAGAUAUUAAAAGCAUUAAAUAUAGUGUUUAAAAAAUUGACACAAAUUUUGUAAAAUGGUUUUAGAAGUUCAUUGUUGGAUUUUUUCUUGUGUGUGUGUGUGUGUGUGUCUGUGUCUGUGUGCUGGGAAUUGAACCCAGGGCCAUCCCCA